rnacentral:lncRNA from 1 species
CAGGUUAGUUUUUAUGAGGUUCUUCUACCUGUGGCGAUGAUGUUAGUCUUAUCCUUGAUUCACUCGCAGAUAGUUUCUACACACUCGCUCAACAAAAAACAGGAUGGAGGACAAUCAUCUCUUCUGAAUCGUCGUAGCAAAAGGACUAAACGAAGGUUAUGUCCGCCCUCCAGAAGUAGAUUAAAUAUUUGUUCUGAUUCUAAAUCAUCGCCUGACACUGGCUCAGAGUUAGCUGGCGGUUUAAGUGACUCUGCUAAGUACACCAAACGCACCAGGUCUCGGAACUCUAUCACAGAAGAUUCCCAAACAGUAUUAGUUCGUAGAAGCGUUGUGUGGGACACCAGUCCAGUCAAAACCAAACCCCAAGUCAUCAUCCACCAUGAUGUCGAUGUAGUAGAAGGUGAGGACUUGAGUCGCUGCCCACCUGAGUCUCGACUCAGCAAGGAUGAACGCAAACAACUUGCUGGAAUCGACCGUAUGAAUGUUCCAGACGGGAACGAAGCAGAUCCUGAAGUUCCACCAGACGAUGAUGGAUUUGAGAGUCUAAAUGGAAAUGGGUCUAGUGACAACAACGAUGAAGAUCAAAAAAGCGAGGAGAAUAUGUGUCUAGAGCCAUCAGCCUCGUCUCCCAGUCAUUUGUCCGUGGUGAAAAACUGCUAUCACCGGGAGAAUAGUCCUGACUGUGAUAGUGUUGAUCAAAUUAAACCUGUCAUCAGGAAUAACUUCAAAAGUGCGAAACUCACCGAUGAGAUUUUGGAGGUCUCUGUUUGUGAACCAGCUUGCACCCCAUUAAAAGUGAAAAAUGCUGCUAAAGACAAGUCCACAGAUUCACAUUUUAAUAGUUUGCAAGAUCCCAGUUUUACACAAGAGGUUCCCUAUGAUAUCAGUAAAAAAUGGAAUGUUACAUUAAGGAGGCGACUGUCUUCUCCCUGA